AUGUAAUAAAUUGUAUGAGGGACAGUUUUCUUUCGUCACCGGUUUAUUUGCGGUUUGGGAAAGUUUUCCAACGUCGCGAAAUUGUUUUCUUCGGAAUUAAUUUAAUUUAUUUCAUGUUAGGAAAAUCGGAUUACUCAGAAAGAUCGAACCAUAAUGGAUUAUAGAUACUGACAUUUCUUAGCUGUUACGGAUUUCCGAUCAGUGAAAAUGGAAGGCGUUAACCAUUUGGACCCUUCUGGGAAGACGAUUGUUAAAGAUGUGGAAUCAGUGAUGCUGGCAUCCAACGGGGAGAAGCCUUUGUGUGGUGAAAAUGUCGUUGAACAGAAGUCAAUACAGGGGAAUAUUACUGAAUACAGAUGUGAGGUUUGUAGGAAAACCUUUUCUUCGCAACACGAAGUCUCCAUACACAAAGAAAUUCACGAGAAGAAGAAGAAGGUAAAACCAUAUCAGUGUGAAAUUUGUGGCAGAUCAUUCAAGCAGAAUUCUCACCUUGUCGUUCACAAAAGGAUUCAUACCGGGGAAAAGCCUUUCGGCUGUGAAAUCUGCGGGAAAACAUUCAUUAAGAAAUUGAACCUUGUCAUUCACCUCCGGAGCCAUACCGGCGAAAAACCGUUCCACUGUAGAACAUGUAGGAAAUCUUUCGUCUCCAAGAGUAAUUUAGCAAGGCAUGAACGGAUACACUCUGAAGGAAAUCCGUUAAACUGUGAAAUAUGUGGGAUAUCUUUUCAUCAUAUUAGUGAUUUAAAUACGCAUAAAGGAAAACACGAUGGAGAAGAACCAUUUCACUGUGAAAUAUGUGAGAAGCCUUUCGUCUCGAAUAAUCAUUUGAUACGGCACCGAAGGGUACAUACGGGAGAAAAACCUUCUUCUUGUGAUGUUUGUGGGAAAUCUUUUCUCGAUAGGAGUAAUUUAACAACUCAUAAAUUAAUACACAGCGGGGAGAAACGGUUUCAGUGUAAAAUGUGUGGGAAAUCUUUCACCCAAAAUAAUCAUCUUGUCGUUCAUAAGAGAAGGCAUACGGGAGAAAAGCCCUAUCACUGCGAAACCUGUGGGAAGGCCUUUGUGUCUAACAGUGAUUUAAAAACACAUAAAAUUACGCAUACGGGAGAAAGACGUUUCCGUUGCGAAACGUGUGGAAAAUGUUUUACUCAGAAGUCCAGCCUCGUCGUUCACAGAAAAAUCCACACGGGGGAAAAGCUGUUUCGUUGUGAAGUGUGCGGAAAGUCUUUCAUUAAUAAUUUUAAUUUUGUUAUCCACGUACGUAGUCACACCGGAGAAAGACCAUUCCGUUGUGAAACUUGCGGAAAGUCAUUUGUGUGUAAAAGUAAGUUAGUAACACACAUAAGGACUCACACGGGGGAAAAACCGUUUCACUGUGAAAUCUGUGGGAAAUUUUUUCUUGAUAGUAGUAACCUGACGAUACACAUAAGGAUACAUACUGGGGAAAAGCCUUAUCGUUGUAAGACUUGUGGGAAGUCAUUUCUUAAUAGUAGUAAUCUGACUACCCACAAAAGAAUUCACUCUGGAGAGAAACCUUUUCAGUGUGAAAUUUGUGGAAAAUCUUUCCGUGAUAGCCGUAAUUUAACACCUCACAAAAGAACACAUUUGAGGAAAAAAGUUUAGCUGAAAUUUGUGGAAAAUCUUUUUUGUGGCAGCUCUGACUUAACAAGUCACAAAAGAACAUGUGAAAAAAAAAAGUUUAACUAACAAAUUUGUGGAAAAUCUUUUUGUGACAGCUGUAACUUAAUACUUCACAAAAGAACACACUUAAAAAAAGAAGUUUAACUGUGAAAUUUGUGGGAAAACUUUGACUCUGAAAUCCUAUUUUGUAGUUUACAAAAAAGAAAUUAAAAAUACAUACUAAGAAAACCUCUAUCACUGUGAAAUAUGUUGGAAAUCUUCCCAUGAUACCUGUAAUAUAACAUCUCACCAAAGAAUCAUCAUCAACAUCGUUUAACGUCUGCUUUCCAUGCUAGCAUGGGUUGGACGAUUUGACUGAGGACUGGUGAACCAGAUGGCUGCACCAGGCUCCAGUCUUGAUUUGGCAGAGUUUCUACAGCUGGAUGCCCUUCCUAAUGCCAACCACUCUGAGAGUGUAGUGGGUGCUUUUACGUGUCGCCGGCACAGGAUUAUUAUACAUAAACAUUAGCAUCUCUAACCCUAUACACACACACACACAUACACAUCAUCAUCUUCAUCAUCGUUUAACGUCUGCUUUCAAUGCUGGCAUGGGUUGGACGAUUUUGACUGAGUACUGGUG
rnacentral:misc_RNA from 1 species